rnacentral:tRNA from 1 species
GCCCUGUUCGUCUAGUGGCCUAGGACGCUGCCCUCUCACGGCAGUAGCAGGGGUUCGACUCCCCUACAGGGUACCA